rnacentral:rRNA from 1 species
GAUCCUGGCUCAGGAUGAACGCUGGCGGCGUGCUUAACACAUGCAAGUCGAGCGAAGCGGUUUCGAUGAAGUUUUCGGAUGAAUUUGAAAUUGACUUAGCGGCGGACGGGUGAGUAACGCGUGGGUAACCUGCCUUACACUGGGGGAUAACAGUUAGAAAUGACUGCUAAUACCGCAUAAGCGCACAGGGCCGCAUGGUCCGGUGUGAAAAACUCCGGUGGUGUAAGAUGGACCCGCGUCUGAUUAGG